rnacentral:rRNA from 1 species
UGACGACCGGCGCACGGGUGCGUAACGCGUAUGCAACCUACCUCUUACUGGGGAAUAGCCCGAAGAAAUUCGGAUUAAUGCCCCAUAUGCUCGUACGGCCUCAUGGUCGAGCGAGGAAAGCUCCGGCGGUAAGAGAUGGGCAUGCGUCCUAUUAGCUUGUUGGUGAGGUAAUGGCUCACCAAGGCUACGAUAGGUAGGGGGCCUGAGAGGGUGACCCCCCACACUGGUACUGAGACACGGACCAGACUCC